CAAUGGGAUGGAUGAAAAGUGGCUCAACCCACUAAGUUGGCCACCCUAGUCCCUCUCGAUUGUUCCUCGUGACACCCUGGCAGAAGUUGGACGUUUGGGUUUGAGAAACCCUUCCAUUGGUACCAACUCCGUUGACGUUGCACACUGGCCAUCGAUGGCAUGAGGUGGAAAUUUCCUUCCAGUGGGAGUGAUUUAUUGAACCUAGAGCUCUAGUUGACGUUGAUCACCUUUCGAUAAGACAUUCCACUCUUUGUUCCUAUGAGUGCGACAAAGAUGUUGCAACCCUGCAUUUAUCCAGUAGUGAUUGUUGAUGAGUGACUUAUUCAUUUUUGGACAAAGGUGUUCUAAUGUUAUCAUGUGCAUUCAUCAUUGGAAUGUUGUUGGGUGUUGGACAUCGUUUGCAUGGUGUGGGGGGGGGAGUGGUGGUGGUGGGUGUGCACUUUUUGGUCAUUUUCAGUUGAUUUUUGGUAAGAGACCUCACACCCUAUUUUCCCUAUGAGUUCUUCAAUUAUCGAAUGCUAAUUUUUUUCCAUCAGCUUCUCUGCUUCAGCAUAUGAAUGUUGUUGCUCACUUCCAUCAACGAAAUGUCAUUGGAUGUUGGGAAUCGUUUGCAUAGGGACUAUAGAGGUGGUGGGUUCCCUUCUAGCGGGUGUUAGUCAUUUUUGGGUAACAUAACUCAUAUCCUCUUUCCUUGCGAGUGCUUCGAUGUUGUUUCGACCCUUAGUUUAUCCGGUAAUGAUUUUUUGGCAGCGACUUCUCUGCUUCUAUGUCUGAAUGUUGUCGUUGGCCAUCAUCAUCAUGGGAAUAUUGUUGGGUUGUGGGACAUUGUUUCUAUUAGGGAAAGAGAUGGUGGGUUCUCUCUCUAUUUCAAUAACUUGUGCUCAUUUUCAUUUUUCUCUACUGAAAGGGGAAAUUGUCGAGAAUCGAUCUUUUGAAGGGAUGAAAGCAGCGCAUUGAUGGACUAGCCACCCUAGUCCCUCCUAAUCAUCAUUCCAUACAAUUUACCCUUGGAUUUGAGUCUUGGUAAAUAUUUCUCUGUUUGCUUGAGUCUCUUGUGGAUGGGGGAGCGAAUUUGUCUUGUGGCCCUCACGUUGGACAAACUUGUGCUCGUUUUUAUUUUUCUCCAUUGGAAGGGGGAAUUAUGGGGAAUCAUACUUUUGGAGGGAUGAAAGAAGUGCACUAUUGAACUAGCCAACCUAGUCCCCCAUGAUCAUCGUUCCCUACAAGUCCUCCUCUUGAGUUGAGGUUGGGGUAAUAUUUCUUUGAUUGUAUGAGCCUCCUGUGUAUGGGGGAGUGCAUUUGUCUUGUGGAGUGGGGGGGUUGUUUCCGUUUACGAUGUUGUGUGCAUCUUGGGAUUUUUCGUUCCUCGCAUGGAUGCCUUUUCUAGUGAAGUGGGGGUUCGUCGGUAACAUGAGUAAAUGACUCUCGACAAUGGAUAUAUAGGCUCUUGUCACAAUGAAUAACAUAGAAAAAUGUGAUACUUAGUGUGAAUUGUAGAAUCUCAUGAAUCGUCAUGUUUUUGAACUCAAUUUUCACUUGAGGCAUCAGUUGAGGGCACGUCUAUUUGGUUGUCACAUCCUACAGAUAUGUGCUCCCUACUAGGCAUUAGAGAGGAGCAGAGAUAGUCAUAUGUUCCCAAAGUGGUGUGGUCGGCUGAACUACAUGCCAUGUUUUGUGUCUUGCGUUGGUGAGCGGUGAUCUUGUCUCCUUAUUUGGGUGAGUUGGCAUUGGUUCAUGCAGGGUGUGUGGAGCAUUGCAGGAACUUACUUUUCACAUCAUCUUUCCAUCUUGGUGGAGGGAUUUGGAUCCAACAUGAAAAGAGAGUUAAAGAGUUCCUGAAAUUUUUGGGAGUGAAGCAGAUGGAGGCUAGCAAUGCAACUCAGUCAGAUGUGGAAUGACUCAAGUUGGUUCGUCGCUCGACUCAAGGUGAGAACCUACACAUUCCAUUACAUCAAGACAAGUGUAGGUGGAGUACUUCAUGUUGUUUUUCCAUUAUGGUGGUCGAGGAAUGAAGUGUACGCCCUUGGGGCAGGCCACUGUGCACCUUCACACUCGUGGUGUUCGUUGACGGGAUUUCCAUUCAACCCGUCCUGAAACACAGACUAAGGAUUCUAGCAUGUGUGUGCAUUGGUGGGUUUGUAAACAUGUAAGGCGUAAGGAAGCUGACGGGAAAGAUCCCCUCUUGAUGAGGUGCAUUGUCGAUGGACCUUGAGCUUGUGCAAAGGGUUCAAGUGCGCGCACACUUGUUGGGACCUGAAAGAUGGUGAACUAUGCAUGAGUAGGGUGAAGCCAGAGGAAACUCAGGUGGAGGUCCAUAGCGAUAUUGGCAUGCAAAUCAUUUGUCUCACUUGGGUAUAGGGGUGAAACACUAAUUGAACCAUCUAGUAGUUGGUUUCCUCUUAAGUUUCCAUUGGGAUAGCUAGAGCUUACAUGCGAGUUUUAUCAGUUAAAGAAAAUGAUUAGAGACAUCAAGGGCGUAAUGUCCUCGACCUAUUCUCAAAAUUUAAAUAGGUAAGAUGGUGUGGUUUCUCCAUUGAGCCAUGCCAUGUAAUCUAGAGCUCCAAGUGGGACAUUUUCAGUAAACAAAACUGGCGAUGUGGGAUGAACCAAAAGUCCAGUUACUGCACCAAACUAUGCACUAACCCAAAUCCCACAAAGGGUGUUGGUUGCUUAAGACAAUAGGUUGGUGGUCAUGGUAGCUAAAAUAUACUAAGGAGUGUGUAACAACUCACCUUUUGAAUCCACUAGCCCUGAAAAUGGAUGGUUUUGAAGUGUGCGACCUUUACUCAGUCAUCGAAGAAAUUGCUAGGCUUCAAUGAGUAGGAGGACAUGGGGGUCAUUAAGAAACCUUGGGCGUGAGCUUAGGUGGACUGACCCCUGGUGCAGAUCUUGGUGGUAGUAGAAAAUAUUCAAAUGAGAACUUUGAAUACUGAAGUGGGGAAAGUUUCCAUGUGAAUAGCACUUGGACAUGGAUUUGUCAAUCCUAAGAUAUGGAGAAACCAUUAAUCAAGGUUGCACUCUGCAUGAACAUUAAAAGGGAAUCGGUUUAAUAUUCUAGAACUAGGACAUGGCAGUGGAUGACAACAUUAGGAAAUAUGGAUACACUGUUGGGGGGCCUAGGAAGAGUUAUAUUUUCUGUUAACAACUUUCCCACCCUGAAAUCAGCUCAACCGAAGAUAGGGUUCAACAACUGGAAGAGCACCGCGCGUCUUGCAGUGUCUAGUGCGCCCUCAUUGGCCCUUGAAAAUAUGGAGGACUGAGUACAUUCCAUGCACGUUCAUACCCAUAAUCGCAUCAUAUCUCCAAGGUGAACAACCUCUGGUCAAUAAAAAAAUGUAGGUAAGGGAAGUAGGAAAAACGAAUCCGUAACUUCGAAAAAAAGAUUGGCUCUCAGGGUUGGGCCUAAGGGUCUGCAUCCUCAACCAGUGGGUUUUCGUUAUAUUUCCUAAUAUUCUAUCAUGGAGAGGGAGGGCGGUCUCGUGUCGAUUGGGCUACGGACGUAUAAUGUCCCCUCAUGAGGGAUUUUCCCUAGGAUGCUAACAAACAACUCAUAAUUGGUAAGGACAAGGGGAAUUUAACUAUUUAACUAAAAAAAAGCAUUGUGAUGGUCCCUAUGGAUGAUGAUUCAAUAUGAUUUAUGCCCAUUGCACUGAAUGUCAAAGCGAAUAAAUUCGACCAAGCGUUGGUAAACGAAGAGAGUAACUAUGACUCUUUGAAGGUAUCCAAAUUCCUUGUCAUCUAAUUAGUGACACGCAUGAAUCGAUUAAUGAUAUUCCUAUUGUCCCUAUAUACUAUCUAGCGAAACCACAACCAAGGAAAUAGGAUUGGAACAAUCAGUGGGGAAAGAAGACCUUGUUGAGCUUAACUCUAGUUUGACUUUGUGAAAUGACUUGAGAGGUGUAGAAUAAGUAGGAAUCGUUUUUGGCGCAAGUGAAAUACCACUACUUUGAACAUUAUUUUACUUUUUCCAUGGGGCAGAGAUGGGGCAUCACCCUUGUUUUUGUUCUUAAGACAUGUUUCAGCAGGUUAAUCUGGGUGGAAGACAUUUUUAGGUGGGAAGUUUGGUUGGGGAGGCACAUCUGUUAAAAGAUAACACAUGUGUCCUAAUAUGAGCUCAAUGAGAACAGAAAUAUCGUGUGGAACAAAAGGGUAAAAUCUCAUUUGAUUUUUAUUUUCAUUAUGAACAAAAAUCAUGAAAGCAUGGCGUAUUGAUCCUUUAGACUUUCGAAAUUUGAAUCUAGAGGUGUCAAA
rfam:Picea glauca, whole genome shotgun sequence.